GAUCGGUAGCCGGACUGAGAGGUUGAACGGCCACAUUGGGACUGAGACACGGCCCAGACUCCUACGGGAGGCAGCAGUGGGGAAUAUUGCACAAUGGGGGAAACCCUGAUGCAGCGACGCCGCAUGGAGGAAGAAGGUCUUCGGAUUGUAAACUCCUGUUGUUGAGGAAGAUAAUGACGGUACUCAACAAGGAAGUGACGGCUAACUACGUGCCAGCAGCCGCGGUAAAACGUAGGUCACAAGCGUUGUCCGGAAUUACUGGGUGUAAAGGGAGCGCAGGCGGGAAGGCAAGUUGGAAGUGAGAUCCAUGGGCUCAACCCAUGAACUGCUUUCAAAACUGUUUUUCUUGAGUAGUGCAGAGGUAGGCGGAAUUCCCGGUGUAGCGGUGGAAUGCGUAGAUAUCAGGAGGAACACCAGUGGCGAAGGCGGCCUACUGGGCACCAACUGACGCUGAGGCUCGAAAGUGUGGGUAGCAAACAGGAUUAGAUACCCUGGUAGUCCACACUGUAAACGAUGAUUACUAGGUGUUGGAGGAUUGACCCCUUCAGUGCUGCAGUUAACACAAUAAGUAAUCCACCUGGGGAGUACGACCGCAAGGUUGAAACUCAAAGGAAUUGACGGGGGCCCGCACAAGCAGUGGAGUAUGUGGUUUAAUUCGACGCAACGCGAAGAACCUUACCAAGUCUUGACAUCCUGCGACGGUGCUGGAAACAGUACUUUCCUUCGGGACGCAGAGACAGGUGGUGCAUGGUUGUCGUCAGCUCGUGUCGUGAGAUGUUGGGUUAAGUCCCGCAACGAGCGCAACCCUUAUGGUCAGUUACUACGCAAGAGGACUCUGGCCAGACUGCCGUUGACAAAACGGAGGAAGGUGGGGAUGACGUCAAAUCAUCAUGCCCUUUAUGACUUGGGCUACACACGUACUACAAUGGCGUUAAACAAAGAGAAGCAAGACCGCGAGGUGGAGCAAAACUCAGAAACAACGUCCCAGUUCGGACUGCAGGCUGCAACUCGCCUGCACGAAGUCGGAAUUGCUAGUAAUCGCAGAUCAGCAUGCUGCGGUGAAUGCGUUCCCGGGCCUUGUACACACCGCCCGUCACACCAUGAGAGCCGGGGGGACCCGAAGUCGGUAGUCUAACCGCAAGGAGGACGCCGCCGAAGGUAAAACUGGUGAUUGGGGUGAAGUCGUAACAAGGUAGCCGUACUAGUACGAACAGCGG
rnacentral:rRNA from 1 species